rnacentral:lncRNA from 1 species
UUGUCACAUUUGCAUUAGUCACGUAUCAGAGUUGUAAUUCUAGGAAUUGAAGAGAUUUAAAUACGAACAAUCAUAGAAAUGAAACGAAUCGUAGGGCAAAGGUAACUUGGCACAGACGUAUUCGUCAUUGGGAUCCGUAGAUAAAAACGACGGUUAUGUAUUGGAAUAACGAAAAUUAAGUUCGUGUCAUUAGUCAACAAUCUUCUUAAUCUACUGUAAAACAAGUUAAAAUUCAACAGGAAGUACCCGGUUAGACUGUAGUUAUCCAUAGAAAGUAAGAUAAAAUAGAAAGUCUAGGAGACCAUGUAUACGCGGCAAAUUCAAACGCGUAUUGUGACGCGCUACAAUGCGGAAGUAACGAGGAGAAAAAGAGAAAGGAUUCGAUUCGGACGAAAUUCCAUGGAAAAGUUGUAAAAUAUGACACACACACGCACACGUGUCUCCGUUAGGCGUUUACGUCAUGUAUCCAAGAUGGGCUAUGCUUGUACAAAAACGAAUCACUGAAAUGAAACGGAGAGACGCAAAUUGCAAAUGCGAAAUGUUUAAUUUUAUACAUCGUGGAUGUAACAUCGAAGCGUUGAAAGAGAGGCCAGAAAAUGCGGAAGAAUAAUAAAGAGAGAUAUAAUAACAUUCGUUGAAUCGAGUAGGAAAGUACGCGCUAAAACGAAUGUUUAUUUUUCCUUUUGUUG